CCUACGGGGGGCAGCAGUGGGGAAUAUUGCGCAAUGGGCGAAAGCCUGACGCAGCGACGCCGCGUGAGGGAUGAAGGUCUUCGGAUCGUAAACCUCUGUCAGCAGGGAAGAACGGUCACUGUGCUAAUCAGCAGUGAAUUGACGGUACCUGCAAAGGAAGCACCGGCUAACUCCGUGCCAGCAGCCGAGGUAAUACGGGGGGUGAGAGCGUUAAUCGGAAUUACGGGGCGGAAAGCGCGCGUAGGCGGUAUGUCAAGUCAAGGGUGAAAUCCCCGCGCGUAACGUGGGAACUGCCUUUGAAACUGGCAACCUGGAGUGUGUGAGAGGAUAGUGGAAUUCCAGGUGUAGGAGUGAAAUCCGUAGAUAUCUGGAGGAACAUCAGUGGCGAAGGCGACUAUCUGGCACAUAACUGACGCUGAGGAGCGAAAGCGUGGGUAGCAAACAGGAUUAGAUACCCGUGUAGUC
rnacentral:rRNA from 1 species